GUUGGCUGUUACACUCUGGAAAUGGAAGGAAGUGUACAAGCCUGGGAGAAAUUUACUGUGUCCUCAUGAACAGGGGGCGAUAUAGCACAGCAGUGGCCCACCGUUUACAUUCAGGUGUUGUAUGACAAGGUGUUUCCUUCCACCCGUCCUUGCUGGAUGGAGUUAGCUGCUUCAAAGAGAAAACCUUCCACUGAAGAUAAUCAUUUAUGGCUUUCACUUGGGUCCACCAGAGCUAUUGGGUUAUAGUCAUUCAAUGUAGCUUUGUUAUAUUUUAAAAGAGACUACUUUGUUUCAGAUCAAUAUUUAUACUUUGUUCCCUUCAAGACAGCAAAUGGGUUUGCUGC